GGCGCGCGGCAGCAGGGUAGGGCUCUGGCCGGGAGUCGACGGAGGGAGCGAGGGCCGGGAGCGCGCGCGCGCGCCCCCGCGCCCGGACAGUCCGCCGCGGCCGCGGCCGCUCCCUCGCUCGCCUCCCGCCUCCCGCCUCGUGCCAUGGUCUGGUUCAGCCCCCCUCAGCCCUUCCACCCGCCUCCCUGGCCGACCCUCAGCUCCUCCGUGUGAAUGGAAGCUCUGUGAGACCAGGAAGAUGUCACCACUGGAUCCCACUGUGCUUGGCAUAAAGACGAGACCCCAGAGUCCUGAGGCUAGUGAAGGAAGUAGUGGACUAGUCCUUCAUCAGUCAUCCCUUCAACUAAUCCAUUAAAAGAAGACCAAGAAGUGAUCAUUUGGCUUCUGUGUUUGGGCAGCCUGAAAGCCAUAUGAAGGACAUGGGUGUUCAUUCUGUGCCGUGUUCUCUACACUUCAGAACAAAUUAAAGUCAUUGGGUAAUGUUGCU